rnacentral:misc_RNA from 1 species
UCUCCGUAGGUGAACCUGCGGAGGGAUCAUUACCGAGUGAGGGCCUCCGGGUCCGACCUCCAACCCUUUGUCGUUGACACUUCUGUUGCCUCGGGGGCGACCCGGCCUCCGCGUCGGGGCCCCCGGUGGACCCUCAACCAAACUCCGCGUCUUUGCGUCUGAGUGAAAUCGUAAAUCAAUCAAAACUUUCAACAACGGAUCUCUUGGUUCUGGCAUCGAUGAAGAACGCAGC